AGAAACCAACAGGGAUUGCCUUAGUAACGGCGAGUGAAGCGGCAAAAGCUCAAAUUUGAAAUCUGGCACCUUCGGUGUCCGAGUUGUAAUUUGAAGAAGGUAACUUUGGAGUUGGCUCUUGUCUAUGUUCCUUGGAACAGGACGUCACAGAGGGUGAGAAUCCCGUGCGAUGAGAUGCCCAAUUCUAUGUAAAGUGCUUUCGAAGAGUCGAGUUGUUUGGGAAUGCAGCUCUAAGUGGGUGGUAAAUUCCAUCUAAAGCUAAAUAUUGGCGAGAGACCGAUAGCGAACAAGUACAGUGAUGGAAAGAUGAAAAGAACUUUGAAAAGAGAGUGAAAAAGUACGUGAAAUUGUUGAAAGGGAAGGGCUUGAGAUCAGACUUGGUAUUUUGCGAUCCUUUCCUUCUUGGUUGGGUUCCUCGCAGCUUACUGGGCCAGCAUCGGUUUGGAUGGUAGGAUAAUGACUAAGGAAUGUGGCUCUACUUCGGUGGAGUGUUAUAGCCUUGGUUGAUACUGCCUGUCUAGACCGAGGACUGCGUCUUUUGACUAGGAUGUUGGCAUAAUGAUC
rnacentral:rRNA from 1 species